rnacentral:rRNA from 1 species
AUUGAACGCUGGCGGCAGGCCUAACACAUGCAAGUCGAGCGGAUGAAGGGAGCUUGCUCCUGGAUUCAGCGGCGGACGGGUGAGUAAUGCCUAUGAAUCUGCCUGGUAGUGGUGGAUAACGUCCGGAAACGGGCGCUAAUACCGCAUACGUCCUGAGGGAGAAAGUGGGGGAUCUUCGGACCUCACGCUAUCAGAUGAGCCUAGGUCGGAUUAGCUAGUUGGUGGGGUAAAGGCCUACCAAGCCGACGAUCCGUAACUGGUCUGAGAGGAUGAUCAGUCACACGGGAACUGAGACACGGUCCAGACUCCUACGGGAGGCAGCAGUGGGGAAUAUUGGACAAUGGGCGAAAGCCUGAUCCAGCCAUGCCGCGUGUGUGAAGAAGGUCUUCGGAUUGUAAAGCACUUUAAGUUGGGAGGAAGGGCAGUAAGUUAAUACCUUGCUGUUUUGACGUUACCAACAGAAUAAGCACCGGCUAACUUCGUG